CUGCAAUAAUGGUGGCUUCAUGCUUGUCAACCAUUCUUUUUGGUUCCCCGAGACAUGCAAUUCUUUUAACAGAUUUAUGUGUAGAUUUUAGCUCCAUUAUUUGAAGGGUCCACCGAUAAAGUCAUAGAAUAAAAGAAACAAAGAAAGCAUAAUUUCUUGGCCCAUGUUUAGCAGACGCAAAGAUGAAGGAGUGAAUAUUUCUAGGGAUGGCAGCCGGGCCGAUUUUUUCAAUUAUACAAUUUGAUUGAAUUUUAUUCAGAAAAUAUGCUUCUUUGUCUUGGUCGAUUUUGUGUUGGCUGGACAGAUUCUUAUAGUUUCCCUCUAUGAUCCUCUUGGUGGAUUUAGUCUUCUUCUAUGUUAUUGUCGGGCUAGUGCUAGUUUUUCUUCUGGGUUGUUCACAUGCAGGUCGAUGAUUGCUGUUGUUUCAUUGGCAUUCUUGGGUUGCAUUGGUGGCGUUGUCAAUUCUGGUUUCAAUGCGGCAAUUGUGCAAUGGAAAGAUUCUAGACUGCUAAAGGAUGUUUGAGCUUUUGGGAUUUACUUGUGG
rnacentral:lncRNA from 1 species